GCGGCGAAGAGGUUCCAGGAAAUAGCUCCACCGUAUAGACCGUACCCGAAACCGACACAGGUGGACUGGUAGAGCAUACCAAGGCGCUUGAGAGAACGAUGUCAAAGGAACUCGGCAAAAUGCCUCCGUAAGUUCGCGAGAAGGAGGCCCCAUCUUUGGGCAACCAGGGGUGGGGGGCACAAACUAGGGGGUGGCGACUGUUUACUUAAAACACAGGGCUGUGCGAAGCCGCAAGGCGACGUAUAGGGUCUGACGCCUGC
rnacentral:rRNA from 1 species